GGAACUCACCGCAAUUAGUACUCCACCGCCUCGAGAUAGAGAGCUGUUUGCGGCAUUUCUAUCGCAACGAUAGACACAGUGCGCAUCGCCAAAUAGGAGAGCUGUGGGAAGGCUGGGAUCGAGCCAAGUCUCAGUGAGUACCACAACAUCAUAGUCCGCUUCUAACACAGUUAAACGGAACUCAUCAGCUUUGGAUCGUAAACCUCGCACAUUCUGAUAGUAUACAGUUAUAGACGUGGAACGGACAUUGAGUGGUAUGCGUGUGUAAGUUGGUGCAAGGUCAUCGGUGAGAGAUCGUGUCGUUGACGUGUUGUUGUUUCGUGUAAACAAAUGACUAGUCAGAUUCAGUGGCACAGUGCCUUUUGAGGAAACAGUUGUGUGAUUAUUACUUAAGAAAAAAGUGUUGAAUAGUAGUUUGGUGCAUUUUAACGGUGUUUGGUGUGGCUGUAGUUGUUUUUGGUGGAACAGGCUAUAUUAAGGUACAAUUCAUAUCGGGUGAUAAUUGUACAGGGUGCAUCGGGCUAUGUCGAACAGGUAUAGGUGUGUUUGUGUUGGUGAGAUCAGGACGAUGGUGAGACGGCCUUUGCGGGAGUGAGAUAAACUCACGCACACCGAGCCCGACCGGCCAAGAUCCUGCGCAAACUAAAAGCGAUGACGUCCGUGGUGUCCAACUGUGAUUUUACCAUCGACACUACCUGGUCAACGGUGACGGUUUUGGCUAACCUAGAUAGAUGUAGCCACAUAUAGUUUGUUCUUGGUAGUUGUGACACGGUUGGGAUCGACGUGGUGGUGGUAUCGGUUCCUGUUAUUAUUGGUGGUAGUGAAGGGCGAUUUCUUUGGUGAGUAUUGUCGGUGUCUGUAUUUACAGGGUAUAGUGGAGCAUUGUCAACAACAAUGGCUUCCGUGGAUGCAACAACGUCACGGAACAACCUUCUACGCUUUCCACUCGGGAGGGCAUCUGGGGGCGGUACGUUGAAGUGUUCGCUAGGAGCUUGGUGAGCCGCGGCAAAACUGGCAAAGCCCUCACGGAUUUCGUGCAUCACAGGCGGGACUAAAGCAGCUUUCAUCACCUCGACAGCGGCAGUAAGAGCCGCCUGGAAGCCGACCUGCAUACCCGUUGUUUUGACUGCUUUACUAUGUGGGUUGCCAAGAGCAUUCGAACACCCUACACAGCUCCAAUGAAGAGAUGCCGUCCGUUUUACCUCUUCGAUCACAGUGAAAGUUGCCGUUGCAGAUAGAUGCCACAGGACUCAGGAACAAACGCAGGAAAUACAGCAAAGUCAGGAAUGGUUGUGACGAACAAUUGAAGGCAGGACUACCAGAGACAGCUUAAGUCACAGCUAAGCGGCAGUUUGACGAAAAUAAGGCCGAAACGACAAAAUAAUUCACGGAUUUACGCGGAGCACAGUGAGAAACACACUCUGUCGUCAGCUG